rnacentral:lncRNA from 1 species
AAAAUGGAGUUUGUUGCUUUGUAUUGUCUCAGUCUCAACUACAACAUUCAUGUUCUCCUUCUGAAAUGCAGAAUUCUGUGUUUAAUAUACUGGCAGCACGCAUGGGGAGUGAAACAAGCACACCUGGUACAGUCUGACAGCAGGAGUCCUGUUCAAUAAUUUCUGUGAAGACUGCAUGAAAUACAUGCCCAGAAAUUGGUACCUGCUGUUCCCAAAAGCCAGCACGGGGUUGCAGUGAGUCUGUGAGUUGGAUGUUUGGGUGCUCCCUUUGGUCCUGAGCCUGGACUAAAGAUGAUGCAAGGGUUUGCUGAAAAGAAAUUGGAAAGACCACACACACAAGGAAUAUGAAGAGGCACAAAUCAGUCAUGGGCUGCAAACAGCAGUUCUGAUAGCCAAGAGCAGGUGAAGAUAUAAAAUACCCUGGGGAUGCAAAGAGAUGUUACUGGAGCUGCCAGAGAAACACCAAUUACACAAGUCAGAGAAUCCACCUGACAUCCAGGACAGACCUGACACAGAACUCUGCUCAGGAAGAGAGGCUGAUGGGCUGAGAGGGAACACCAGCAGCUCUGGCAGGUUCCUCCCUGUUGUCAAAAAAGUUGUUUUUUACCAGAGAGGGGCAAGCACACCCCAUUCCCAGGAUGAGAGCAGCAUCCAGGAGAAGCAGCUUUGGCAAAUGCCUGCCGAAGGAGAAGGGGCACAAAAUGCAACUUGCAGGCAGCAGCUCUUCAGCCAGAACUGCUGGGGACACAAUGUGGUCACAGCCCCAUGGAGCUUGUCCUGCCUUUUCUGUCAAACAGCUUCAGAGCAACUCAAGUCAAAGGAAGGGCCCCAAACUAAGGAGUCAAAGGAACCGCUCCCAAAAAGUUGUACUCCAGCUUAGCUACACAGAAAUUAAGACAGUGUCCACACAGGACUGGAGAUCAGGGUCUCUGAUAAAUAUAGUGCUAAGAUUGAAAAGUUUUCAUAAUACAGAUUAUUCUGAAGUCUCUAUUAACAAGCAAUUUAAAUAUAUAGGGUAUAUUUAAAAUAUGUGAUACAUUCAUCACUUGUCUAGUCAUCCUUUUCCAGAGGGUUUGGACAGGUUUCAAUAGAGGGAAAAAGUACAGAUGCACUAUUUGGCUGGGUGUUUAAAACACAUAUUCUCUGUCCCAUUUGCCGCCCUUAUGAAACCAAGACAAUUAGAAAAACUCUCCAAUUUCUCUACAGAAAAAAUACCCUUCUUAAAGGAAUUUGCUAUUGGUGAUUUUUUCCCUUUUUAUUUUCCUUCAACUUGUCUAUUACUGUCUUUUCUCUUUCUUAUGUUGUUUCUGUUUAUACGGCGACACAGUUCCCCUAGAGAGCAGGAAAAAAACCAAGAUUUGCACUAGAUGUGGAAAAGGGUGUGCUAGUCUUCCAUAGCAGGGCAUAACAGGAAAAAUUCUAGGAUAUAGGCAAGAUCUUUCUGAAAAUUACAGCUGCUAUUACAGCUACCACUCCCUCCUUUUUCAGCUUCCUGGCAAAGUGAUAGGCUUUGCCUUGGAUCACAGGAAAUUGGACUGUGCUUUCUCCUUCCUGAAAUACAGCAUCAAGCUCUCCCUAUUAACAAUAGAGAUCAGAGUUAUAAUAAAAUAAAGCUAGAUGUUGAACCUUAAUAAGGUAUAAUUUGGCAGAAACAAACUAUUUUGGGGUCAUCUGCAUAAAUAAAAUAGAGCAAUUACCUAAAGUUAGCUGUAGCAUUAGGUGAAUUAUACCAGUAUUAAAUUUAAUCAUAUUCAUGGUCUCUGUAUUCCUUUCCCAAGCCAGAGGUGGAAGCUGCAGUGCAUUUUGAGGUGUGUUACUUCAUACCUCAUUAAAACAAAAUAGCUUCCAGCUACUGAAACUCACAUUUGCAUUAUUCCCAAAAUUGCAUUCUAUCAUCAUGACAUUUGAAGUGAACUCAUUGCUAUUGUUGGAAUGAGCUGCCUUCUCCUAGAAAGGAGAGACUGCCACAAGCAUAAUUAAUCUCCAAGUACAUCAGACAAUAUUUCUCCUAUUUACUGGUAGUAUUAAUGAGAUCUGGUGUAGAUUAAAUUGGUGAAAUUGGGAAUAGCAGGUUCACUAAGCAAUGUGUGUUCCAGGAGAUUUCAACAGACUGAACAAUGACCUCCAGAAUAUAAUUAUGCAACUAUUUUAUUCUUUUCAUUUAGUUUAAGUUAACUCUAUAUUUAGCAUGCUCUCAAGAGCACAGUGUCGGAUGUGAAAUGUAAUUUCUCCUUAAAUCAAUCUUGUUAUCUUUGAAUCUUUGUUUGAUGAUAAGAGACAGAAUUAUUUGGCACUUGUUUGCCAUCUUUUAAAUCCAUUUACUUUUGUGUGAGGAGAAAAACAAGUUGUCCAUCAUCCCAGCAGCAGCAGACACAAUACUGGUGCAGUUUCAUGUCACUUGGAAGCAGCAUUAGCUAUAUCCAGUAAACUGGAAGCCAAAAAGUGAUGAUGGGAGAGUUUCAUAUAGAAGGGGACUAAAGUAGUGAAAAUAAGAUAAUAUGGUGCUUCUUUUACUUUUAUGGUGUCCAGGGGUUACUGAUGAUGUCUCAGGUUUAGCUUCUCUAUUUUUCACAUUCUGUGCUGCUUUAGUGUGCACUUCUGAGCUUCACAUGAGGGGAUGGUGAGCUCUCUGCACAGAGCAGGGACACAAAACAAUUCCUUCUCCAGCUGGGCACCAAGGACAAAUGAUCCAAAUCUCAGCCCCAAGAGCACAAACACCGUGGGCUGGAGAGAGAAAAACAAGCAGGGUGGGACUGCCUGGGCUGGAGCUGGAAUGGGACAAUGAACUCCAAGGUGCCAAUGGAGCAGAACUGAUCCCAGGGAGAGCCCCCGGGAGCGCUUGUGCAUUUUGGGACCAUUUUGGUUCAUCUUGGGUGCAGCCCUGGCUGGGCUCUGGUGCUGCCCAAGGGGGAUCCAUGGAGGAGAUCCUUUUAAUCAAUCCUUGCUUUAUUCUUUAGUUCUGUCCAGCCUCUGCUCUAGGCCAGCCUUCACAAGGCAUCACUGACUUGGCUCCUCCAUUUCAGCAGAGCUCCCACUGAAUUCUACAGUCACAAAAAAUAUCUCUGAAACAGAUCCUAGAAGCCGUUUAUUAUUUCAGCCCCAUUUCAAGGCAAAUAUGUGUCAUGUCCAAGUCCUUCCUAACUGGUAUUUAUCCAACUUGACUUUAAAACGUCUGAGAAAUAAGGUUCAAAAAUCUACUUUGCUGUUUCAACAUUAUUGAGAAGCUAAUGAUUAGAUUCCUCCCCUUUGCUUUCAUUUAAACUUAGCAAUUCUUGUUCUGUCAAUCACAUGAAAAACAAAUUAUGUCCUUCUGCUAAAUAAUUCCAGGUCAUUAAGGCCUAAGAUAUAUGUGUUUAUAACCUUUUGUGGCUCACUCUUCAGCUCUUUUAAGCUGGGAAUUCUUUUUCUUUUUUUAAAUACACCAAGACAGACACAGCAGCUGAACUGCUGUGCAAAGCAGAGACGUUAUUUUCCACAUCAUCUAGGCUACAGUCAUUUUCAAAUACGACCCAGCAUGGCUCCUGUUCUUCUUGCAAUAAUUUAAAACUGUAGAGUCACAUUCAAUUUACAAACCACUGUAGCACCAGAACCCUUUCCUGGAGAACUGGCACUAACCAAUUUGUUUUCCCACUCCUGUUUGUGAGAUAGGACAGUACCUCGCAGGUGUUAUUCUCAAAAUUAAUACUAAUUUCAAAAUUAUGACUUCAACUUGCAAAAACCAUUUUUUUUUCUGUUCAAAUGCUAUUCUCCAGCACAUCUGUACACCCUCCCAACAUCCAUAAGAAGAAAAUAUUUUCAACAAACUCUCCACUCUGCUGCAAGCAAAAGAAAGCACAUGAAAUAGCAGAGGUUUGGACAUUCAGAUGAGCAGGGUCAGGGAUCAGACCUCAGAUCCUCCCUACAGCCAUGGUCACAUACUCAGCAAGCAAGGAUGGGCAGCAUUCCUUCCAAAGAUGCUUGCUGCCAUCUGGGAAAAUAGGGAUAAGCAAUUCAUGUUAAUUUUGAGGAACCUUUCUGAUAUAGACACAAAACUAUACAUACAAGACAAUAUUUAUGACUUAUAUGCCAUGAAAUUAUUAUGUUUAUAUAAUAAAGUACAAAAUUACUGCAAUGCCAUCUGGACUGAGCAGGGGAAGAAACACUGAAGUUGUGACAGAAAUAGACUGAGAUUUUAAAUUAAUUUUAAAAAAUCAGGUUACAGCCUCAGAUCAAGGAUUUGAAUCAGAAAACCACAUUACUGUCGGAUAUUCCCAUUCCACAUUGUGAGAGGGCUUUGAGAUCAUGUUCUGAGCUCAGGAAAACAUUGCAUUGGAGGUUGAAAUCCACCUCUGUGGAGCUGACUAAAAACAGUGUCAGUGUGACCACUGGACUAAAGUGCUCCCUGAAUGAGCACGAUUUAAAGGGGUUUACUUAGCAGAGAUCCAUACAAAUAAAAGGGAGAGGGAAUCAAGACACGAUGACUUUCCUGCUGUCAGAAGCAGCACAGAAUUACAGAACGAUUAUCUGCCAAAGGCUGAACAUAUGAACACAACUAAGCUCCUGGCUUUCCUUCACGGCGUGACAAAACCUAAUGAUCCUUCAGUGCUUUUGCUUUACACUGUUAUUUUCCCAAUAAAUAGUGUGAACUUUUUUCUUCUCACACCCUAAGUAAUCACUUAUGACAAUUUAUUUGGAAUGACAAGUUGGUUUAUUUCUCCAGUUCCUCUGCAGGAGAUGUACUGGAACAUCUUUAUCUCACUGAGUCAUGUCCGAAAAAGUAUAAAAUUGAAGAACCAGGGCACAAGAGCUUUCCAAUUGUCUGAAUCAUUUCUUCUCUCAGAGAAGUUCUGGAGAACUCACACAUCAAGUAUGACAGCAAUGGCAAGAUUUUUGUGUUUGGGAACUUUUCAUAAGGAAAGUUUUAAAGUUCAGGCACUUGCAGUGAGGUGGCUAUAACUGAAGUAUUGUUAAAUAUUAAAGUAAAAGAAAUUGGAAAAAAAAAAAAA